GUCGCCGUAACGCCGAAUCCUGUCGGCGGCGACGGGCAGGCACUUCAGCUUUCACGGCAGGAGCGGGGGACCCAGGUAAGUGCCGCACCGCGCGCAAGCGCGGGACGGCUUGGGGUGAAGCCAUGCUCCGCAUGGCCGGGCAUCUCCAGCUCGAACCCGACAGCUCACCUCGCAGGCGUCGGAGAGGAGCAUG
rnacentral:sRNA from 2 species